GUGGGGAAUCUUCCACAAUGGACGAAAGUCUGAUGGAGCAACGCCGCGUGAGUGAAGAAGGGUUUCGGCUCGUAAAGCUCUGUUGUCGGGGACGAAUGUGCAGUAUUUGAAUAAAGUACUGUAAUGACGGUACCUGACGAGGAAGCCACGGCUAACUACGUGCCAGCAGCCGCGGUAAUACGUAGGUGGCAAGCGUUGUCCGGAAUUAUUGGGCGUAAAGGGAGCGCAGGCGGGAAGGUAAGUCGGUCUUAAAAGUGCGGGGCUCAACCCCGUGAUGGGAUCGAAACUAUCUUUCUUGAGUGCAGGAGAGGAAAGUGGAAUUCCUAGUGUAGCGGUGAAAUGCGUAGAUAUUAGGAAGAACACCAGUGGCGAAGGCGACUUUCUGGACGAAAACUGACGCUGAGGCGCGAAAGCCAGGGGAGCGAACGGGAUUAGAAACCCCAGUAGUCC
rnacentral:rRNA from 1 species